ACAACCAACAACAACAACAAAAAAUACUUCUGUGAUAUUGGUUUUUAAGUCCAACGAGCUUUCUACUUGCUCGUACCGCGCCGUCAAAUUUAUUGUCAUUUCGGUUGUUAUAGUGUCAACACGUCUUCGUCUUGGCUAUUCGGUCAUAAUUAUUGUACCAUUCAACAUCCGUACUGUUUUUCGGACGUCAACGAGCUGAUAUACAUCAAUUUAAAGACAUCAAUCUAGUUAUUUUCCAGACACAUACACAAUUACCAACAAAAUGCCAGACUUUUAUUUUGGAGGUAUUGAAGGGUAUGUAUUUUUUCCAUUAAAUUAUCUAUACGAAUAAUAAAGUGUGUUGUUAUCGUAUUGUGAAUGAAACAAUAAAAAUGAACAAUAUUUCCAAUUCGUUACCACAAAAGGUGCCAUAAAUUACUGAUAA